GAUCAUGCUCAGAUUGAACGCUGGCGGCAGGCUUAACACAUGCAAGUCGAACGGUAACAUAAAGAAGCUUGCUUCUUUGAUGACGAGUGGCGGACGGGUGAGUAAUGCUUGGGAAUCUAGCUUAUGGAGGGGGGAUAACUACGGGAAACUGUAGCUAAUACCGCGUAAUAUCGAAAGAUUAAAGUGUGGGACCUUCGGGCCACAUGCCAUAGGAUGAGCCCAAGUGGGAUUAGGUAGUUGGUG
rnacentral:rRNA from 1 species